UGACAAGUAGCUCAGUCGGUUAGAGCGUUUAUGGACAGGUCGUAGGUUCGAGUCCUACCUUGUCAA
rnacentral:tRNA from 1 species